rnacentral:tRNA from 1 species
GGGUGUUAGCUCAGCUGGUUAGAGCGCCGGCCUGUCACGUCGGAGGUCGAGGGUUCAAGUCCCUUAC